AUGAACGCUAGCGGCAGGCUUAACACAUGCAAGUCGAGGGGUAUAGUAGCAAUACUAGAGACCGGCGCACGGGUGCGUAACGCGUAUGCAAUCUACCUUUUGCAGGGGAAUAGCCCAGAGAAAUUUGGAUUAAUGCCCCAUAGUAUAGUGACUCGGCAUCGAGAUACUAUUAAAGUCACAACGGCAAAAGAUGAGCAUGCGUCCCAUUAGCUAGUUGGUAAGGUAACGGCUUACCAAGGCGACGAUGGGUAGGGGUCCUGAGAGGGAGAUCCCCCACACUGGUACUGAGACACGGACCAGACUCCUACGGGAGGCAGCAGUGAGGAAUAUUGGACAAUGGGCGCAAGCCUGAUCCAGCCAUGCCGCGUGCAGGAUGAAGCAUCUAUGGUGUGUAAACUGCUUUUGUACGAGAAGAAACACUCCAACGUGUUGGGGCUUGACGGUAUCGUAAGAAUAAGGAUCGGCUAACUCCGUG
rnacentral:rRNA from 1 species